GUGCUUAACCUGGCAGGGGAGAUACCACAAUCACAGAAGGUGGUUUUCCCAGGGCAAGGCUUAUUCAUUGUGCUCCGGAUGUGCUGACCGCCGCUAUUUCCCCAAAUGUGGGAAACUUGCCUGCCUGCGUAAUUUGUGGUAGUGGGGGACUGCAUUCUGCUCUCCCCUG